rnacentral:rRNA from 1 species
AGUUUGAUCAUGGCUCAGAACGAACGCUGGCGGCAUGCCUAACACAUGCAAGUCGAACGAGACCUUCGGGUCUAGUGGCGCACGGGUGCGUAACGCGUGGGAAUCUGCCCUUGGGUUCGGAAUAACAGCGAGAAAUUGCUGCUAAUACCGGAUGAUGACGUAAGUCCAAAGAUUUAUCGCCCAAGGAUGAGCCCGCGUAGGAUUAGCUAGUUGGUGAGGUAAAAGGGCUCACCAAGGCGACGAUCCUUAGCUGGUCUGAGAGGAUGAUCAGCCACACUGGAACUGAGACACGGUCCAGACUCCUACGGGAGGCAGCAGUGGGGAAUAUUGGACAAUGGGCGAAAGCCUGAUCCAGCAAUGCCGCGUGAGUGAUGAAGGCCUUAGGGUUGUAAAGCUCUUUUACCCGGGAUGAUAAUGACAGUACCGGGAGAAUAAGCCCCGGCUAACUCCGUG